rnacentral:rRNA from 1 species
UUUGGUUUUGAGUACCAGUUCGUGACUUUCUAAGUAAUUACCGUCAAAUAAAGGCCAGUUACUACCUCUAUCUUUCUUCACUACCAACAGAGCUUUACGAGCCGAAACCCUUCUUCACUCACGCGGCGUUGCUCCAUCAGACUUGCGUCCAUUGUGGAAGAUUCCCUACUGCUGCCUCCCGUAGGAGUAGGGGGAAUCUUCCACAAUGGACGCANGUCUGAUGGAGCAACGCCGCGUGAGUGAAGAAGGGUUUCGGCUCGUAAAGCUCUGUUGGUAGUGAAGAAAGAUAGAGGGNGNAACUGGCCUUUAUUUGACGGU